rnacentral:rRNA from 1 species
CCUACGGGUGGCAGCAGUGAGGAAUUUUGCGCAAUGGGGGAAACCCUGACGCAGCAACGCCGCGUGAGUGAUGAAGGCCUUCGGGUCGUAAAGCUCUGUCGGGUGGGGAGAAACGUCGGAGGGUGAAUAGCUCUUCGGCCUGACGGUACCACCAAAGGAAGCACCGGCCAACUCCGUGCCAGCAGCCGCGGUAAUACGGAGGGUGCAAGCGUUGUUCGGAAUCAUUGGGCGUAAAGGGCGCGUAGGCGGUUCGGUAAGUCGGGGGUGAAAGCCCCGGGCUCAACCCGGGAAGGGCAUCCGAAACUGCCGGACUUGAGUACGGGAGGGGGAAGUGGAAUUCCUGGGGUAGAGGUAAAAUUCGUAGAUAUCGGGAGGAACACCAGUGGCGAAGGCGGCUCUCUGGACCGAUACUGACACUGAGACGCGAAAGCGUGGGGAGCAAACAGGAUUAGAUCCCCCGGUAGU